UGAACGCUGGCGGCAUGCCUUACACAUGCAAGUCGAACAGUAACAGGUCUUCGGACGCUGACGAGUGGCGAACGGGUGAGUAAUGCAUCGGAACGUGCCCAGUCGUGGGGGAUAACUGCUCGAAAGAGCAGCUAAUACCGCAUACGACCUGAGGGUGAAAGCGGGGGACCGUAAGGCCUCGCGCGAUUGGAGCGGCCGAUGUCAGAUUAGCUAGUUGGUGGGGUAAAGGCCUACCAAGGCAACGAUCUGUAGUUGGUCUGAGAGGACGACCAGCCACACUGGGACUGAGACACGGCCCAGACUCCUACGGGAGGCAGCAGUGGGGAAUUUUGGACAAUGGGCGCAAGCCUGAUCCAGCAAUGCCGCGUGCAGGAAGAAGGCCUUCGGGUUGUAAACUGCUUUUGUCAGGGAAGAAAUCUUCUGGGCUAAUACCCCGGGAGGAUGACGGUACCUGAAGAAUAAGCACCGGCUAACUACGUG
rnacentral:rRNA from 1 species